ACGUACACUCCUGCGGGAGGCAGCAGUGGGGAAUAUUGGACAAUGGGCGCAAGCCUGAUCCAGCCAUGCCGCGUGAGUGAUGAAGGCCCUAGGGUUGUAAAGCUCUUUCACCGGUGAAGAUAAUGACGGUAACCGGAGAAGAAGCCCCGGCUAACUUCGUGCCAGCAGCCGCGGUAAUACGAAGGGGGCUAGCGUUGUUCGGAUUUACUGGGCGUAAAGCGCACGUAGGCGGACUAUUAAGUCAGGGGUGAAAUCCCGGGGCUCAACCCCGGAACUGCCUUUGAUACUGGUAGUCUUGAGUUCGAGAGAGGUGAGUGGAAUUCCGAGUGCAGAGGUGAAAUUCGUAGAUAUUCGGAGGAACACCAGUGGCGAAGGCGGCUCACUGGCUCGAUACUAACGCUGAGGUGCGAAAGCGUGGGGAGCAAACAGGAUUAGAAACCCGAGUAGUCCCAU
rnacentral:rRNA from 1 species